UACGUAGGGUGCGAGCGUUAAUCGGAAUUACUGGGCGUAAAGGGUGCGCAGGCGGAUGUUUAAGUUAGGAGUGAAAUCCCCGGGCUUAACCUGGGAAUGACUUUUAAGACUGAAGAUCUAGAGUUAGUCAGAGGGGGGUGGAAUUCCAAGUGUAGCAGUGAAAUGCGUAGAGAUUUGGAGGAACACCGAUGGCGAAGGCAGCCCCCUGGGAUGUAACUGACGCUCAAGCACGAAAGCGUGGGUAGCAAACAGG
rnacentral:rRNA from 1 species